AUAGCGUAUAUUAAAGUUGUUGCAGUUAAAAAGCUCGUAGUUGAACUUCAGACCUGGCCGGGCGGUCUGCUUAACGGCAUGUACUGUCUGGGCGGGUCUUACCUCCUGGGGAGCCGGCGUGCCCUUCAUUGGUGUGCGUUGGGGAACCAGGACUUUUACCUUGAGAAAAUUAGAGUGUUCAAAGCAGGCCUAUGCCUGGAUACAUUAGCAUGGAAUAAUAGAAUAGGACGUGUGGUUCUAUUUUGUUGGUUUCUAGAAUUGCCGUAAUGAUUAAUAGGGAUAGUUGGGGGCAUUGGUAUUCAGUCGCUAGAGGUGAAAUUCUUGGAUUGACUGAAGACCGACUAUUG
rnacentral:rRNA from 1 species